UGGAUCAGUGAUGACUACCUGUGGCGUAUUAGUCAUGUAUGAUGAAUACAUGUCUGGAACUCUGAGAUCCAA